CAGAUCUCAAGCGAGAAUGUUGACAUGAGUAGCGAUAAAGAGGGUGAGAGACCCUCUCGCCGUAAGUCCAAGGGUUCCUGCUUAAAGCUAAUCUGAGCAGGGUAAGCCGGCCCCUAAGGCGAGGCCGAAAGGCGUAGUCGAUGGGAACCACGUUAAUAUUCGUGGGCCAGGAGGAAGUGACGGAUCUCGAAGAUUGUCUGCCCUUAUCGGAUUGGGUGGGCCGUUCAGAGGUUCCAGGAAAUAGCCCUCCAUCAGACCGUACCCUAAACCGACACAGGUGGACUGGUAGAGUAUACCAAGGCGCUUGAGAGAACCACAUUUAAGGAACUCGGCAAAAUGCCUCCGUAAGUUCGCGAGAAGGAGGCCCCGUCUGUAGGCAACUAUGGGCGGGGGGCACAAACUAGGGGGUGGCGACUGUUUACUUAAAACACAGGGCUGUGCGAAGCCGUAAGGCGACGUAUACAGUCUGACGCCUGCCCGGUGCUGGAAGAUUAAGAGGAGGGGUGCAAGCUCUGAAUUGAAGUCCCAGUAAACGGCGGCCGUAACAAUAACGGUCCUAAGGUAGCGAAAUUCCUUGUCGGGUAAGUUCCGACCUGCACGAAUGGCGUAACGAUCUCCCCGCUGUCUCAAAUGUGGACUCAGCGAAAUUGAACUGUGUGUCAAGAUGCACACUACCCGCGGUUAGACGGAAAGACCCCAUGCACCUUUACUCCAGCUUUGCACUGGUAUCAGGAUUGUGAUGUGCAGGAUAGGUGGUAGGCAUCGAAGCGGGGACGCCAGUUCUCGUGGAGCCUCCCUUGAGAUACCACCCUUCGCCAUCUUGAUAUCUAACCGCGGCCCGUUAUCCGGGUCCGGGACCCUGCAUGGUGGGGAGUUUGACUGGGGCGGUCGCCUCCCAAAUCGUAACGGAGGCGCGCGAAGGUAGGCUCAGACCGGUCGGAAAUCGGUCGUUGGGUGCAAUGGCAGAAGCCUGCCUGACUGCAAGACUGACAAGUCGAGCAGAGACGAAAGUCGGUCAUAGUGAUCCGGUGGUCCCAAGUGGGAGGGCCAUCGCUCAACGGAUAAAAGGUACGCUGGGGAUAACAGGCUGAUGAUGCCCAAGAGUCCAUAUCGACGGCAUCGUUUGGCACCUCGAUGUCGGCUCAUCUCAUCCUGGGGCUGGAGCAGGUCCCAAGGGUACGGCUGUUCGCCGUUUAAAGGGGUACGUGAGCUGGGUUUAGAACGUCGUGAGACAGCUCGGUCCCUAUCUGCCGUGGGUGUAGGAGACUUGAGAAGAGUUGCCCCUAGUACGAGAGGACCGGGGUGAACGGACCACUGGUGGACCAGUUAUCGUGCCAACGGUAGUGCUGGGUAGCUAUGUUCGGACAGGAUAACCGCUGAAGGCAUCUAAGCGGGAAGCCCCCUUCAAAACAAGGUCUCCCUUGAGAGCCGUGGAAGACCACCACGUCGAUAGGCCAGAGGUGUAAGUGCAGCAAUGCAUUCAGCUGACUGGUACUAAUUGCUC
rnacentral:rRNA from 1 species